rnacentral:lncRNA from 1 species
UUCCUUCCGUUCACAAGAUUUUCGAUGUAGCUCGAACUCGAGGCCUUUGUAGGCCUUCACUUUAACCGAAGAUUAAUGAAAAGCUUAUGGACGUAACAAUUCUAAUUCAAAAGAUUCGUUUGCUCAUUUUCAGGUAAUUAACCUGCUAUUGGAUGGGGAAAAAAAUAAUCCCCUGCUCUAGAUGUUCUCGAAGAAAGAAUCAGAUCAUGGAAUGAACAAAUUGAAAAGGAAUGCUUACCUAAAAUGUAAGUCAUCGCCAGUAACUUCCCACUGUCCAUGGGCUUCCUACCUUCGUUCCUGAUCUGGCCGUUCGACGUAUGAAGCUGACAGAACCACCACGAGUCUCAUGUAGUCCCCGCCAAAUCCUCCACAGAUCUGGACUGCGGAUUUCCGAAGCCCUAUCAUCGAUCUUCCCAUGAUCCGCACAACGGAGAGCAGGGGCGAGUCGCCGGAACGGGAAAAAAAUAACGUGCUCCUCAAUGUCCGCCGCUCGCCAGCUCCAUCAACGAUUACCGUCAUAGCCGGUGGUCUCCUCGUGAGAGCCAUGUCUCCUCUGAGAAUUGUGUACGGGACCCCUCCGGAGGCAUCACCGUGGCGGACAAACUCCGUGCGAAUAUCGCCUCCUGCGUGGGAGUGGCUGCUCUACGCUCAGCGCGG